CUUUUGUGGGGUGCUCGAGUGGCGAACGGGUGAGUAACACGUGAGUAACCUGCCCUUGACUUUGGGGUAACUUCAGGAAACUGGGGCUAAUACCGGAUAGGAGCUCCUGCUGCAUGGUGGGGGUUGGAAAGUUUCGGCGGUUGGGGACGGACUCGCGGCUUAUCAGCUUGUUGGUGGGGUAGUGGCUUACCAAGGCUUUGACGGGUAGCCGGCCUGAGAGGGUGACCGGCCACAUUGGGACUGAGAUACGGCCCAG
rnacentral:rRNA from 1 species